CAAAUUAGAGCUUUAUAGUUAAGUUUCUUAUUUACAUUAAGAAGGUGGUUGUGCAAUUCAAUUUAAUUUGA
rnacentral:tRNA from 1 species